rnacentral:rRNA from 1 species
UACAGAGGUCUCAAGCGUUGUUCGGAUUCAUUGGGCGUAAAGGGUGCGUAGGUGGCGUCGUAAGUCGGGUGUGAAAUUUCGGAGCUUAACUCCGAAACUGCAUUCGAUACUGCGGUGCUUGAGGACUGGAGAGGAGACUGGAAUUUACGGUGUAGCAGUGAAAUGCGUAGAGAUCGUAAGGAAGACCAGUGGCGAAGGCGGGUCCCUGGACAGUUCCUGACACUGAGGCACGAAGGCCAGGGGAGCAAACGGG